CUCCAAGUGGAAAAUAAGUCUCAUAUGUACACAACAAAGAGCACAAGUCAAGUCACAAGUGCUACAACCAAAUGUGUGCAACAAAUUCUAUGCAACAUACCAGUGGGAGAAGAGAGAGACAGACAGAGACAGAGACAAAUACAGUGUGUGUGUGUGUGUGUGUGUGUGUGUGUGUGUGUGUGUGUGUGUGUGAGAGAGAGAGAGAGAGAGAGAGAGAGAGAGAGAGAGA